ACGACCACGUCACAUUGAAAUACCGGUUAUCGUAUGAUCCCAGAAGUUAAGCAACGUUGAGCCUGGUCGGUACUUAGAUGGGUAACAGUUUGGAAAUACUAGAUGCUGUAAG